CUGGUAGUGGGGGACAACCCGGUGAAAACCGGGCUAAUACCGCAUACGAUCCACGGAUGAAAGCAGGGGACCGCAAGGCCUUGCGCUAUCAGAUGAGCCUGCGUCGGAUUAGCUAGUUGGUGAGGUAACGGCUCACCAAGGCGACGAUCCGUAGCUGGUUUGAGAGAACGACCAGCCACACCGGAACUGAGACACGGUCCGGACUCCUACGGGAGGCAGCAGUGGGGAAUAUUGGACAAUGGGGGCAACCCUGAUCCAGCAAUGCCGCGUGUGUGAAGAAGGCCUUCGGGUUGUAAAGCACUUUCGGUGGGGACAAACAAGGCGGAGCUAACAUCUCCGUCCCUGAUGGUACCCAAAGAAGAAGCACCGGCUAACUCUGUGCCAGCAGCCGCGGUAAUACAGAGGGUGCAAGCGUUAAUCGGAAUUACUGGGCGUAAAGGGUGCGUAGGUGGUUUGUUAAGUCAGGCGUGAAAUCCUCGGGCUCAACCUGGGAACUGCGCUUGAUACUGGCAGACUCGAGUGUGGUAGAGGAUAGUGGAAUUCCCGGUGUAGCGGUGAAAUGCGUAGAUAUCGGGAGGAACAUCAGUGGCGAAGGCGGCUAUCUGGACUAACACUGACACUGA
rnacentral:rRNA from 1 species